CCCGUUGUCGCAGGAGACGUGAGCGUUGAGCGUCCUGUCCGAGCGGCAGCCCAUGGAGCCGAUCUGCUUCAGGCAGCACUGAUGGAAGAAGCAACACCUGACGAAGAGGAGGAAGAAUGUUCAACGUUGUUUUAGCUGGUCCUGAGGCUGCCCCCCGCCCUCCUGUCCGCAGUAGCAGCCGUACAUCUCGUACUCAUGCGGGCACCGUCCCGUCACGCAGUGCAGCAUCUCCCCCAGGGCCGCCAUCUCCCGCCUGGCUCGCCCGUCGCUGCCGAACACGGUGAAGGAGCGGCUGCAUUCUGGGGAGACCGUAGGAGGAAACCCAGAUUCUGGUCACCGCUGCACCAUUGGGAGCAUCCUCACCAACUGCAUCAGUGUAGUACGGCAUCUUCUGUCUCGGACCAAAAGCACUGCAGAGGUCACCUCUCACCCCGGCCACAGUUUUGCACUUGUCCCCUCCGGGAGACGCUACAGGACUCUCGGUCCCAGGACCAGCAGGCUCAGGAAGAGUCAUAGUAUAGCGUGUCGUAUAUGCAAAGUGCCUCCAGUGAAUAAAUUUUUUUUUUUACACUGGUGCCAUGUUGUGGAACAGCCUUCCACUACACAGCAAGUCUUUCAAUAUGAGUGGGUCAGGUUAGGACCUAACUAUGGAACAGAUGUAUAAUGAUAUUUGCAAUGACAUUGUUAUUUUAGCUGUCUUGAUUUGGGAGAUGUGGUGAUGUGUUUAUGGAUUUCAGGAUUUAAUUAGUUUGUGUGAGAAAUGUCUUGUGCUUUUUUGUGUUUUCAUCUUGGGACUAUGCUGGAAAUAAGUGGUUUCACUUGAACAUGUUAUCUUUUGGAUUUUUGUUUCUGUUCCUGAUAGUCCUUGAAUAAAAUCACUCCAUCACUCAAA